rnacentral:rRNA from 1 species
UACGGGGGGGGCAAGCGUUGUUCGGAUUUACUGGGCGUAAAGGGCGCGUAGGCGGCAAUUCAAGUCAUCUGUGAAAUCUCCGGGCUUAACUCGGAAUGGUCAGGUGAUACUGCUUUGCUAGAGUGCAGAAGGGGCAAUCGGAAUUCUUGGUGUAGCGGUGAAAUGCGUAGAUAGUCAAGAGGAACACCUGAGGUGAAGACGGGUUGCUGGGCUGACACUGACGCUGAGGCGCGAAAGCUAGGGGAGCAAACGGG